rnacentral:rRNA from 1 species
AACGAACGCUGGCGGCAGGCUUAACACAUGCAAGUCGAGCGCCCCGCAAGGGGAGCGGCAGACGGGUGAGUAACGCGUGGGAAUCUACCCAUCUCUACGGAAUAACACAUGGAAACGUGUGCUAAUACCGUAUACGUCCUUCGGGAGAAAGAUUUAUCGGAGAUGGAUGAGCCCGCGUUGGAUUAGCUAGUUGGUGGGGUAAAGGCCUACCAAGGCGACGAUCCAUAGCUGGUCUGAGAGGAUGAUCAGCCACACUGGGACUGAGACACGGCCCAGACUCCUACGGGAGGCAGCAGUGGGGAAUAUUGGACAAUGGGCGAAAGCCUGAUCCAGCCAUGCCGCGUGAGUGAUGAAGGCCCUAGGGUUGUAAAGCUCUUUCACCGGUGAAGAUAAUGACGGUAACCGGAGAAGAAGCCCCGGCUAACUUCGUGCCAGCCGCCGCCGUAAGAC